rnacentral:rRNA from 1 species
AACGAACGCUGGCGGCAUGCCUAACACAUGCAAGUCGAACGAGACCUUCGGGUGUAGUGGCGAACGGGUGCGUAACGCGUCGGAACCGUCCCUUAUGUUCGGAAUAACUCUCCGAAAGGGGUGCUAAUACCGGAUAAUUUCUUCUGACCAAAGAUAUAUCGCCUUUGGAUGGGCCCGCGUUGGAUUAGCUAUUUGGUGGGGUAAAAGCGUACCAAGGCGACGAUCGGUAGCUGGUCUGAGAGGAUGAUAAGCAACAUUGGGACGGGGACACGGCCCAGACCCCUUGGGGUGGCGCCAGGGCGGAAUCUCCGGCGAAGGGCGGAAGUGUGAACGAUCGACGACGGGCGAGAGCCUGAUCCAGCCGUGCCGCGUAAGUGUUGAAGGAGUUAGGAUUGUAAAGCUCUGUUAACCGCGAUGAUAGUGACGGUACCGGGAGAAAAAGCUCCGGCUAACUCCGUG